rnacentral:rRNA from 1 species
GAUGAACGCUAGCGGGAGGCUUAACACAUGCAAGUCGAGGGGCAGCACGAGGUAGCAAUACUUUGGUGGCGACCGGCAGACGGGUGAGUAACGCGUAUGUAACCUACCCUGUACAGGGGGAUAACCCGGAGAAAUUCGGACUAAUAUCCCAUAGAAAUAUCGGAAGGCAUCUUUUGAUAUUUAAAGUUCCGGCGGUACGGGAUGGGCAUGCGUAACAUUAGCUAGUUGGUAAGGUAACGGCUUACCAAGGCAGAGACGGGUAGCUGGUCUGAGAGGAUGAUCAGCCACAUUGGCACUGAGACACGGGCCAAACUCCUACGGGUGGCAG